GACGAACGCUGGCGGCGUGCUUAACACAUGCAAGUCGAACGGAAAGGCCCUGCUUUUGUGGGGUGCUCGAGUGGCGAACGGGUGAGUAACACGUGAGUAACCUGCCCUUGACUUUGGGAUAACUUCAGGAAACUGGGGCUAAUACCGGAUAUGAGCUCCUGCUGCAUGGUGGGGGUUGGAAAGUUUCGGCGGUUGGGGAUGGACUCGCGGCUUAUCAGCUUGUUGGUGGGGUAGUGGCUUACCAAGGCUUUGACGGGUAGCCGGCCUGAGAGGGUGACCGGCCACAUUGGGACUGAGAUACGGCCCAGACUCCUACGGGAGGCAGCAGUGGGGAAUAUUGCACAAUGGGCGGAAGCCUGAUGCAGCAACGCCGCGUGCGGGAUGACGGCCUUCGGGUUGUGAACCGCUUUCGCCUGUGACGAAGCGUGAGUGACGGUAAUGGGUAAAGAAGCACCGGCUAACUACGUG
rnacentral:rRNA from 1 species